UACGGGGGGGGGCAAGCGUUGUUCGGAAUUACUGGGCGUAAAGGGCUCGUAGGCGGCCAACUAAGUCGGACGUGAAAUCCCCAGGCUCAACCUGGGGCUCCACCUGAUACUGCUGUGGCUAGAGUCCGGUAGGGGAGCGUGGAAUUCCUGGUGUAGCGGUGAAAUGCGCAGAUAUCAGGAGGAACACCCGUGGCGAAAGCGGCUCUCUGGGACGGUACUGACGCUGAGACGCGAAAGCGUGGGGAGCGAACAGG
rnacentral:rRNA from 1 species